rnacentral:rRNA from 1 species
AAUGAACGUUGGCGGCGUGGAUUAGGCAUGCAAGUCGUGCGCGAAACGUAGCAAUACGUGGAGAGCGGCGAAAGGGAGAGUAAUGCAUGGUUAGCUACCCUCGGGACUGGGAUAGCGGCGGGAAACUGCCGGUAAUACCAGAUGAUGUCUUCGGACCAAACGUGUAAACCGGCCCGAGGAGGUGACCAUGUCCUAUCAGCUUGUUGGCGGGGUAACGGCCCACCAAGGCAAAGACGGGAUGGGGC